rnacentral:rRNA from 1 species
AUAAUGGGUCAGCGACUUAUAUUCUGUAGCAAGGUUAACCGAAUAGGGGAGCCGAAGGGAAACCGAGUCUUAACUGGGCGUUAAGUUGCAGGGUAUAGACCCGAAACCCGGUGAUCUAGCCAUGGGCAGGUUGAAGGUUGGGUAACACUAACUGGAGGACCGAACCGACUAAUGUUGAAAAAUUAGCGGAUGACUUGUGGCUGGGGGUGAAAGGCCAAUCAAACCGGGAGAUAGCUGGUUCUCCCCGAAAGCUAUUUAGGUAGCGCCUCGUGAAUUCAUCUCCGGGGGUAGAGCACUGUUUCGGCAAGGGGGUCAUCCCGACUUACCAACCCGAUGCAAACUGCGAAUACCGGAGAAUGUUAUCACGGGAGACACACGGCGGGUGCUAACGUCCGUCGUGAAGAGGGAAACAACCCAGACCGCCAGCUAAGGUCCCAAAGUCAUGGUUAAGUGGGAAACGAUGUGGGAAGGCCCAGACAGCCAGGAUGUUGGCUUAGAAGCAGCCAUCAUUUAAAGAAAGCGUAAUAGCUCACUGGUCGAGUCGGCCUGCGCGGAAGAUGUAACGGGGCUAAACCAUGCACCGAAGCUGCGGCAGCGACGCUUAUGCGUUGUUGGGUAGGGGAGCGUUCUGUAAGCCUGUGAAGGUGUGCUGUGAGGCAUGCUGGAGGUAUCAGAAGUGCGAAUGCUGACAUAAGUAACGAUAAAGCGGGUGAAAAGCCCGCUCGCCGGAAGACCAAGGGUUCCUGUCCAACGUUAAUCGGGGCAGGGUGAGUCGACCCCUAAGGCGAGGCCGAAAGGCGUAGUCGAUGGGAAACAGGUUAAUAUUCCUGUACUUGGUGUUACUGCGAAGGGGGGACGGAGAAGGCUAUGUUGGCCGGGCGACGGUUGUCCCGGUUUAAGCGUGUAGGCUGGUUUUCCAGGCAAAUCCGGAAAACUAAGGCUGAGGCGUGAUGACGAGGCACUACGGUGCUGAAGCAACAAAUGCCCUGCUUCCAGGAAAAGCCUCUAAGCAUCAGGUAACAUCAAAUCGUACCCCAAACCGACACAGGUGGUCAGGUAGAGAAUACCAAGGCGCUUGAGAGAACUCGGGUGAAGGAACUAGGCAAAAUGGUGCCGUAACUUCGGGAGAAGGCACGCUGAUAUGUAGGUGAAGUCCCUCGCGGAUGGAGCUGAAAUCAGUCGAAGAUACCAGCUGGCUGCAACUGUUUAUUAAAAACACAGCACUGUGCAAACACGAAAGUGGACGUAUACGGUGUGACGCCUGCCCGGUGCCGGAAGGUUAAUUGAUGGGGUCAGCGCA